rnacentral:misc_RNA from 1 species
UUGCAUGUAUUUGUGAUGGGAAACAGGAAAAGGCCUAAAUUUGGUAAGUAAAAGAAAAGGGGUUGUGAUAUGGUAUUAACAUAGAAAGUGUGGUAAUGGAUAAUAUCAGCGUUUCUUGGCUGCAGGUUGCUUCUGGGAGUUGAAGUAGACGGCGGCGACGGGAAGGCCGAGGGCAUUCUGAGAGGCGAAUUGUCGGAUGCUGAAGUUGCUGCGGGUGUUGGGUGGUCGGAGCCUGCCGCCCAGGGCGGUGUUUUGUUUGAAAACGGCUAAUACAUAUCGGUGAAUGCCGGUUGGAGGCUGCGGUCCCAUGUACUGCACCACUUCCUUUCCUUUAUUGGCAUCAGCUCCUUCUGGAAUGUCCACCACAAUCCAAUGAAGCCACUCUCUGAAAGUUGGCUCACUAGGACUAGGAGCAUCAGGAUCCACCAUGACCAGAGUAUAAAGUUGGUUAGAGAAGGGGGCUUGAAUAAGAACAGUGGGGCGAUCAGCAGCGGAAAAGGGCUUGAUUUCACAGCCAUUAGCCACCUGUUUAGAGCCAUAACUGACGGACACAUCGGCGGCCGGAGUGAACAUAUCCAACACAUCUCCG